rnacentral:rRNA from 1 species
GCGUAAGCGUGUGAGGAAGGCGGGGAUGACGUCAAAUCAGCACGGCCCUUACGUCCAGGGCUACACACGUGUUACAAUGGCCGGUACAGAGGGCAGCCACCCGCGAGGGGGCGCGAAUCCCGAAAGCCGGUCGCAGUUCGGAUCGGAGUCUGGAACCCGACUCCGUGAAGCUGGAUUCGCUAGUAAUCGCGCAUCAGCCAUGGCGCGGUGAAUACGUUCCCGGGCCUU